UAUGCGCGGUCUCUUUCAUUCCCGGAUCGCCGUGAAGUUAACGUCGUAGUUCAUCAUUCAAUUAAGUGUAAUAAUAAAAGUGAUUUUUUAAAACGUAACCCGCGUCGCGGUUCUCGUAAUUGGCGCAGCCGGCAGACACGGAUCGAAGGAAAAUAGUGCGAUAACAGUGGUAGCAGCAGGACUAAAAACUGCAGCAUAAGUGGCUUCGUCGAAGGACAUCGGCAGCAAGCAGGCGGAGUUCCCAAAAACAACGCUGCUGUGGAGUUGAAGGCCCCCCCGUGCUUUUCCAGACAUCCGUGCAUCAACGCCCCCCUGACUAGCACUCGUCAGAGGAUUUAGAUUUAUCAACACAAUCAGAUGAUGACACAAUCCACUCCGCGGAGGAGUCUGCUGAAGACUAUGUUCACUUCUUAGGCGUCGAAUUGAAAUAUGCAUCUUCUUCGGAAUCGAAUGGC